rnacentral:rRNA from 1 species
UACAGAGGGUGCGAGCGUUAAUCGGAAUUACUGGGCGUAAAGCGCACGUAGGUGGCGACGUAAGUCGGGUGUGAAAGCUCCGGGCUCAACCUGGGAAUUGCAUUCGAGACUGCAUUGCUGGAGUACGGAAGAGGAGGGCGGAAUUCCCGGUGUAGCGGUGAAAUGCGUAGAUAUCGGGAGGAACAUCAGUGGCGAAGGCGGCCCUCUGGUCCAGUACUGACACUCAAGUGCGAAAGCGUGGGGAGCAAACAGG